GUGAAAGAUCACCGUAUGCACACCGCUAUAAUGACAAAAAGACUUUGAAUCUUUAACUACUCUGUCAUUUUCCUUAUUGAAAUUAGAUUUUUUUAUGAUGUCUUAAAUUUGCCAUGGAUUUCUUCAGGAAUGUCCUACAGUAUUUUCAAAACACUGCAUACAAAGGACUCAUCACAGGCUCAAUACAGGAGAGG